AUAUAUUUAGAGAAUUUUCGAAGUAACGCGCACUCGGCGAGAAGAAUACCGAACGUGUCGCAGCUUAUUUCUGAUCUCUCUGUCCUAUUACAGAAUCACAAAGUAUUCAACAGAUAUCUAUCAUAGAAAACCUAUCCAGUUCCCUUCCGACUCCAUAGAAAGUAACUAUGCAUGAAAUUUUUAGGAAUGCUGGUUAACACAUGAGAAUGGAACACCGUUUCUCCCCAUUUAAUCAUAAAAUUUGUUAAUAUUUUUUAUUAAAUUCCUUUCUUUUGUUUUGAUUUUUUGAUUGUGAAGUUUUGCUUGGUUAUUAAAAUGAAUUUCAUUUGU